GAGGCUGUAGCUCAGUGGUAAAGCACUUGACUAGCAUGCAUGAGGUCCUGGGUUCGAUCCCUAGUACCCCA
rnacentral:tRNA from 1 species